UAGAUUUCAAUUUUCAGAUCUGAGAAAGUGAGAAGUGAGAGACAGACCGAGAGGGCGACAGUCGAGAUCGGAGACGACUCAGACGAGACUCCUCAAGUUCAAGUGUUCAACAGAGAGAGUGUGAGACAACAAAUCAACGAUCCACACUUCGAUCGAUCUCCCGUGCCGAGUCGCCGACUGACGAGUCACGACUCACGAGUGACGUCUGUGUUACUGUGCAGCUUCUUCUUCGGUUCUUCCCUACAGGUAGCUUCUUCUUCUCUACACUUCGAUCGAUCGACACUGCUAUGUUCUGUUUUUGUUUUUACUUUUUAGUUUGUUUCUGGCUUUCUGCUACACUUCUGUUUUUGUUUUCAGUUUAUUUUCACUUUUCAGUUUGUUUUCAGUUUGGGGUUACUAAAUUUCUUCAAUUUUGGUAAAACCCUGCAAUUUCGGCAAAAGAAGAGAAGCAAUUUCUGCAAUUUCUUUUGUUGGGGUUACUAAAUUUUUUCAAUUUUGGUAAAAGCCUGCAAUUUCGGGUUGAUAGAGAUAUCCGAGCAGGCCAGAUUUGAGAGUGUAUGCUAUUAUUUCUUGAUGAAACCAUGUCGAGGGUUUGUUGAAGUGUAUGUAUGUACGUUUAGACAGAAGUGACUGAAAAUAUUACCAAAGCUUUGUUCAAAAUUGUGUUCUUUCCUAUAUAGUAGUUUUACAAUGGCUUUAGCUCUUAAUUACCUUACCUGUAGUAAUACCCAGUUUUACGAUCCUCCUCAUGCCAGUUCUUAGGUUCUUUUACAAUGGUGAAUGAGUUAAUUCCAACAUUUUGCAAAUAAUUUUUUUAUACCAACUGAUCUACCAUGAAUAGAGGAGUUGGUAUACUGUACGUACUAGAAACUCCUCUCUGUGAAAUUUGAUACUUGGGAGAUAACGGACACUUGUCCAUAUUAUAUUUAAGUCUAUGAUUUCUUACUUUAUUUAGAUAAUAUAGAUAUGGAUGGAUGGGAACAGAAUGCAUGCAAGGCAAGCAAAUAAGAGACGAGAUCUGCCAACUAAUUUGAGCAUAUGCAGACAUGCAGUAGUAAUUUGUUUUGUUUCCAGGUAUGAGGGAGGAGAAGAAAGUGAUGGAUCAUAUUCAUAUAUGAUAUGAUAUGAUAUGGUUAGCUGAACCUGUCUGCCUGACCAUAACCAGUUAAAUGA
rnacentral:lncRNA from 1 species